GUUUUAAUAAUUUAAUAUAAAAUACUGGUCUUGUAAAUCAGAAAUAAGAAGAUCUUUUAAAACA
rnacentral:tRNA from 1 species